GCGGGUGUAGCUCAGCGGUAGAGCAUCAGCUUCCCAAGCUGAGGGUCGCGGGUUCAAUUCCCGUCGCCCGCU
rnacentral:tRNA from 1 species